AUGUCACUUGGCGGUGGCGCCAUCGAGCCUGGGUACUGCAGCUACACAAUUAUGUUGGCCCGCAUGGGUAGUACGGCCCCAUGUUUAAAACUCAAAAGAAUUUGCGGGGGCCCCGCACACGCGGUGGAGUAUAUGGAUUAAUUUCGAUGCAACCAAGAAUAGCCUAGCCCUCACCUCGACAUGUCAUGAAUUUAAGAAGAAAUUUGGCAGUCCUCGCAAAGAAAACCGGCAACACAGGUGCUGCAUUGCUGGCCUCAGCUCGUGUCGUGAUAUGUUGGGUUAAAUCCGGCAACGAGAGCAACCCUUGUCAUUAGUUGCUACGAAAGGGCACUCUAAAGAGACUCAUGGUGACAAACCGGAGGAAGGUGGGGAUGGGUUCAAGUCCUCAUGGCCCUUAGGACCUGAUAUCCCUUGUCAAGCAAUGGUCGGGACAGAGGGUGGAUUAAAAUCUUGGGGGGAGAAUUAAAAAGAAAGCCGGUCUUAAUCCGGAUUGCAGUCGGCAAGUCGAAUGCGUGAAGUCGGAAUCGGUAGUAAUCGCGGAUCAGCACGCCGCGGUGAAAACGUUUCCGGGCCUAGCACGCGCCGCCCGUCACCCCCAGGGAGAGGGCCGUACUUGAAGUAGUUAGCCUAACCGCAACCGGGCAGAUGACCACGGCAUGGCCUUCUACCGCGGUGAAGUCGUAUACA
rnacentral:rRNA from 1 species